rnacentral:piRNA from 1 species
UACCAACGUCCUCCUGUAAGAGAUGUCUCC